rnacentral:tRNA from 1 species
GGUGUUGUAACUCUUUGAUUUUAAAAGAGAUUAUAUCCCCUUACAAGGCGUAGGUCGGGGGUUCGAGCCCCUCAGCACCC